AUCCUCUUUCUCUCUCUUCCAUCCAUCCUAUUCAGUCUUCUCCUCCCCUCACUGCAAUCGACGGGAUCGCUGGCAAUGGCAAUCGCUGAUCAACAUCUUCCGAUGUACGCCGCUCCACAUCGCUACUUCAACUGACGAUUUAUUCAUGUCCCAAGUUUCUGAUCCAGAUGACGCCGUGAAAUAGAGAAUGAAAAACCUUUUAAUUAGCUGUCAGUGUUCUAUACUCGUCUACUCUACUCAUCUUCAUCGCUCAGUCUCAGACUCUCUAUACGACUCUAACAACAGUAAGAUAAGAAGUUUAUAAGUUGAUUUUCGCUAAUGAAGAAGUCAACAAGUUCGC